CAGGGAAUCACAGAGAAAGCAGUAUACUUUUGAGAUUUAUUUGUGGAUCCAUCUUCUUCCAUGUAGGAGCACAGCGAUGAUACUUCAACCAAAGCACGGACACAGUGAGCAUCACUAUCAACUUCAUGUUCUCCCUGCUACGGAAAAGAAAAACGAUCAAAACUUCCUUUAUAUUCUAAUUAUGUUUGCGUUAAUGGUAGAGCAUUACUUCAAGUUCUACUCUUCAAAAGCUUUGCUUUUAACAGGAAUUCCUGUGUAA
rnacentral:lncRNA from 1 species